GCCAAAGUCCAGAGAAUGCUAGUAGACGGCAAAACCACUAUUUUUAUGCGUAGGUAUCUGGAAAACUACUUUUACAACAACUUUGCGGUGCGUGAAGUCGGUUUUUUCCCAUCUCCCGUAUUUCCGGAGAUUUCCGCCCGCUUCUUCUGCACCAGCUGCGAUGGAUUGUGAUCUAAAGAACAAAAGAAUUGGACGGACCGACUGAUACGACCGUCUCUCAGCUGUCGGACGGUACCGUUCGACGUGCAUUGCGAAGGACUUCGACUCGUAAAGGAAGAAAAAGAAGAUGGAGAAGAUGGACCAUCAGUGUCACUCUGUGACUGAAGAGAGACUAUUACGAAUGGCUACUGACGGGAGAUCUGCCCCUGGUCCUAACCUUCAAGCCUCCUCUGAAGACGUUCUUUUUGCGGAUCGGCGAUUAGCUGAGAACCUGUCGUUAUGGUGGUCUCUGGUCGAGGAACCCCA